CAGUAGCCGCGGUAAAACCAGCAGCCCAAGUGGUGGUCGCGCUUAUUGGGCCUAAAGCGCUCGUAGCCUGGCCGGUAAGUUCCCCGUGAAAUCGGGUCGCCCAACGAUUCGGCUUGCGGGGAAUACUGUCGGUCUUGGGGCCGGGAGACGCCGAGGGUACUCCGGGGGUAGCGGUGAAAUGCUGUAAUCCUCGGGGGACUACCAGUGGCGAAGGCGCUCGGCGAUAACGGGCCUGACGGUGAGGGGCGAAAGCUGGGGGCGCGAACGGAAUUAGAUACCCGCGUAGUCCCUGUCUCUUAUA
rnacentral:rRNA from 1 species